rnacentral:rRNA from 1 species
UACGUAGGGGGCAAGCGUUGUCCGGAUUUAUUGGGCGUAAAGAGCGUGUAGGCGGCUUUACAGGUCCGUUGUGAAACCUCGAGGCUCAACCUCGAGACGCCGGUGGAAACCGUAAAGCUAGAGUCCGGAAGAGGAGAGUGGAAUUCCUGGUGUAGCGGUGAAAUGCGCAGAUAUCAGGAAGAACACCCGUGGCGAAGGCGGCUCUCUGGGACGGUACUGACGCUGAGACGCGAAAGCGUGGGGAGCGAACAGG